AUUGAACGCUGGCGGCAGGCCUAACACAUGCAAGUCGAACGAGUGGCGGACGGGUGAGUAAUGUCUGGGAAACUGCCUGAUGGAGGGGGAUAACUACUGGACACGGUAGCUAAUACCGCAUACCAUCGGAUGUGCCCAGAUGGGAUUAGCUAGUAGGUGGGGUAACGGUGCCCCUAGGCGACGCUCCCUAGCUGGUCUGAGAGGAUGACCAGCCACCAGGGAACUGAGACACGGUCCGGACUCCUGCGGGAGGCAGAAGUGGGGAAGAUUGAACAAUGGGUGCAACACUGACGAAGCCAUGCCGCGUGUAUGAAGAAGGCCUUCGGGUUGUAAAGUACUUUCAGCGGGGAGGCGUUACCCGCAGAAGAAGCACCGGCUAACUCCGUGCCAGCAGCCGCGGUAAUUC
rnacentral:rRNA from 1 species